rnacentral:lncRNA from 1 species
UUGCCACUUGUUAGAGAUACAUGACUUUUCACUUCGAACAGUUGUGUCUUUCACCAUUAGUGUUUAUAAAUACUUUUUUAGUCCACGAAUUUUGAAAAUAAAACUUUUAUAAUGGAACUACCCGAAGAUGCUGUGUGUAAUAAUAUUUUAUUAAAGCAACUGCUCUAAUUUGGGGCCAUGCAGGCAUACUUGUCUCUUGGUUACCGUAACGUUAUUUUCGAAGGAGAUAAUCUAAUACUUAAGUCCGUCCUUGAUCAUAACGAGUCUAAAAAAAAAACUACAAGUCCUGAAGUCGAGCAUUUUGGGACUGCAACAAGAAUUUGAAAGAGGGCGUUUUGAAUAUUGCAAAGGUGAAGCUAAUGGAUGUGCUGACAAAUUAUCUAAUUUUUCAAUUACUUGUAAUCAUGUAUGGGGUGUGUACCGUAUAUGUCCAUCCUUUUUACAACUUCAUGUAAUACUCGAUAAUGAUAAUAAACAAAGUUUAACCGAAAAAAAUAUAUAUUUUAUUAAAGGUCUUCGAUCAGUCAAGUAAAUAUUUUGGAAAUUAAUUGUAGAAUAGUCAAUAAAGAAAUUGAAAGAAUUUCAAAAUCAUCUUAUGUAUUAAAAAUCUACUAAUUAGUGUUUUUAAUACCAGACAAAAACCCUUCCAUAUAAAGAGACAGAUGACGUCCGUUAACUCAUACACAACUCUUAUUUUUCUUUCUACUGAACUGAUGAGCGACAGAGAAGGUAUAACAAUGAUUGAUGCUGCCGCUUGAGUGGUCAUAAUGGAAAAACAUAAUCACUUUAGGGAUUGGACGAAGGUUAAAACAAAUAACUUCAUUAUCACCAAAUCAAUGAAUUUAAUUCUACAAUUAAAAUAUCCCUUUAAUUAUGUUUUUAAAAUAAUAAAAAAAAUUCAUUAAAAUCUCAAUUUUUUUAAAGGUUGUGUUUGUUCAUUAAGGUAUCUUUUGAUUAAAUGUUGUCUCUCUUCAAUAUGAAACUAUUGUAAAUUUUUUUGAAUAAAUGUUAUGUUGUGCUUUUUCAUCAUAAAAUAUAUAUUAAUUGAUUUUUUGUUUAAAAAGUUAUAUAUUACCAUUAUAAAUGUGCUAUUUAAAAUAAUUAAUUAAAAUUGAAAAGUUGUGACUAUUCAUAUAAGUAUCAUUUCAAAAUAACUACUAUUAAAUUGAAAAGAUGUGACUAUUUAAAUUGAAAAGUUAUGACUAUUCAUAUAAGUAUCAUUUUAAAAUAACUACCCUUAUACUAAAAAGAUGUGACUAUUCAAAUAGAUCUUUGAAAAUCUAUAUAUAGUCUACGUCCAUGCGUUUUUCAAAGUAAUAUUUUCACUAAUCUAAUAAAAGACGAAGAAAAAAAAAGGUUUUUGCAGUUAUUUGGUUACAAAUUUUUAGAAAAUAUUUAAAUGAAACAUUGUCAACAAAAAAGUUGUAGGAAGUGUAACUAUUUAAAUUGAAAAUUUAUGACUAUUCAUAUAAGUAUCAUUUCAAAAUAACCACAUUAGACUAAAAAUAUGUGACUAUUCAAAUAGAUCUUUGAAAUCUAUAAAUAGUUUACGUCAGUGCUUUUCUAAAAGUAAAUAUUUUACUAAUCUAAUAAAACGCUGAAGAAAAUUACAAAUGUUUAGAAAGUAUUUAAAUGAAACAUUGUCAACAAUAAAUAGUAGGAAGAGAUUUUGGUGUUUGGAUAGCCAAAAAUCAUAGACGUGAUAGUGAAGUCCUUGAUCUUAAUUUUUUUUACUAGAUGAAAAGGUUUGUUUUCCAUACUUACAAAUUCUUCUUCUUCUAAUGGAGGAAUAUUCAUCAGUAUGAUGUCACCACAUAUGCUCUUCGUCCCGUAGUCACAACGCCACACUGGAGAGACGGCCUGUCGUCGGAGACCAAUAGCUUUUGUGCGUGGUCAUUCGUGGACAUGAGAGAUGUAUGAUGUGAAGAAGAGACUCACAAAGCCGGAGCCACCGUCAUCACCCGUGAAGUUGUCGUGAGUUUAAGUGUUUUUAUCUGUUUCUUGUGCAUCAAGCAAUCGUUUAUAAUAAGUCUGGUUGUAAUCAUAUCCUAAUAAUUUAUCUUAUCUUAUUUCUAUUUGAUUCCGAUCUUGUGUGUCGCCGAUGAGAAGUCCAUGGCGGAAUCCUAAUUGUUUUUGGUGGUCAAGUCAUAUUCCCGUUCCAUAUCGCAUUGGCAGUAGAACAUCAGAGAGAAUGACAUGUAUAAAUUUUUUUAAAGAGGUGCCAUUGUUAUUUGAGAGAACGUGUUGGGGAACCAAUUCGAGAUGUACAUAUUUUGUCAUCCUGAACCAACGAGGGGACCGAAAGGUAUUUCCAAAAUGUACUAUCUUAUAAUAACAAUGCCUUUGUGAGAAGCAAACGAGGAGAACGUUUCAUAUGCAAUAGAGUAUCUUUCUAUAAUGAUGUGUAUAUUUAUAAUAUAUUGUAAAUGUACUAUCUUAUAAUAAUUAUAUACUCUGGAAUUGAAAUAAAUAUUAACGAUUUUGUCUUUAAUUUCGUCUUUAAAAUAUGUUUGUUUUCCAUAAAAAUUGCAUUAAUUUAAAAUAAGUUAACAAAAUAUAUAAAUAUGUAUCUUUUCAUCUUAAUAAUUAUAUUAAUUUAAAAGUUAUUUAAACGUCUAAAAUGUGUCUUUUUCUUCCUAACAGCGGGUUUCUUCAUCAUAAAAGUUUUAUGGAUUUAAAAGAAAUUGUCAAAAUGUAAAAAUAUGUCUUUCAACCUGAUAAUUAUAUUGGUUAAAAAAACAUUUAUGUAUGCAUCAGUUUGAUAUAUGUGAUCUCUAUUUAUUUAGUGAAUCACUAUUACACAUAAAUAUGAGAGGAUUAUUAGUGAUUUAAGUGAAUCUUACAACCGUUUAAAUGAAUCAUUGCAAAUAUUUGGUGAAAGUUAUGUGGGUGAUAUUGCUAAGAAGAUAUGUUAAUGGAUAAGAUAUCUUAAAAUUACCAUAUACACAUGUUUUUAUAAAUAGUUUUUGUAAAAAGUUACAUUAAAAAAUAUGACAUACUUAUUUUUAUAAAAUGAGUUCCCGUGUGAUAUCGCACGGGUUCCUUAACUAGUAUAUUAAAAGAGAAACAUUACAACAUUUGAGUUAUGACACGUGUCGUCAUGAGAAUAAUUUUUGACAGUCUAUAAAAAAUUAAGUUGGUCCAUCUAAAUAAAAAGCAUAGUUUUCUUUAAACUAAUAAUAAAAUCUCUUAUUAGUCUAAAAAAAUAUUAUUAAUUAUUUCCCUAAAUAAAAGCUACGGAAUUAUCUAAUGUGAUUAAAAUAUAUAUGCAAAUUAAUGAUUUUCAAUAAUAAAGAUUUGCUAAAAAUUAUAUAUUCUCUAUCAUUGUUGUUUAAAUCAUUUUUAUUAAAAUAAAUUAUACAAUUACAUUAACCAUACAAUAAAAAUUUUAAAUUAUUUCGUAUAUGUCGUAUUUUGAAUUUUUUUUAAAUGAGUAUAAAUUACUAAAAUGUUAAAAGUCUCACAUAAACUUUUGUGAUCAAUGAUUUAAUUUUUUUGCUAUAAUAAGAUACAAAUGAUUAUAAAACCACAUGAGUAAGAAGUCUUAUUUAAUAGUUGUUUAUAUAUAUAUAUCAUUUAAAUUAAAUUAUAUACCAUGUAAAAAUACAUACUUAUAUUUUGAUAUUUCCAUUGACCAAAUACUUAGAAUUUAAUAUUUUUAUUUUAAAACAUGCAUUGAAUUUUUAAAAAUGAUUAUAAGUUACUAAAACUAUUAAAAAUCUCACAUUAAAAAAAAUUAUUAAUGAUUUAAAUUUUUGUCAUAAAAGGAUGCUGAUAAUCAUAAAACCAUAUGAUUAGAAAACUCAAAUGAAGCAGACUUUAUUAUAAGUCUACUAAAUCCUAAACUACAAAACUCAAAUCCUAAAUGUUUGCUUGAUAAUAAAAAGAAGUAUCAAUUAUUGUGUCAAAUAUAUACAAAAUAUAACAUACUCAUAUGCAAAUUUUAAUCAAUAAAACAAAAAAAAAUAUCAAUAUAAAUCUAACCCUAAGAAUCUAACCUUAAAAGACAUAACAUGUUCUAACAUUUAAUUCUAAACCAUAAACAAUGUCUCACAUGGUCACCAAAUCAAUAUAUAUUCUUUUAAAUUGUUCAAUUAUACAAAAUUUUAAUUUCUAAACUUCAUACUAACCCUUAUAUAAAUGAUUAGUUUAAAGUUUCACAAAAAUUAUUUUUUUUACAUUUUAAAAAUUAAUUUAUAAGAUCAAAUUACGAUGUAGAUUUGUUUUGAAGUCUACAUAUAUGUAGACUUUUUUUGUUACAUGUAGACUUAUGAAGGAUAUAAUUAUAAAAUAACUUUCUGGUUUUUUGUUUGGUUAUAAAGGUUAAAUAGUAUUUUUACUACCACUUUAGGUUGAUUUUGCAUUUGAUUGAAUAUGAGGUCUACUUUUAUGGUUAGAAUCAAUAUUUGGGUUGGUUUUGGCAAAAACUCAUUUAAUAAAUAGCCAUAUUAAAAAUAUAUUAUAUAUCUAUGUUGAUAUCAUUUAAAUUAAUUAUAUAUCAUAUACAAUUAGAUAAAUUUGAUAGAUCAAUAAUAAACAAGAUUAAUCGUUUGAUUUAAACGCGUCCACCAAUUUAGUUAUAUACGUAAUAGUUAUUGAUUCUCCAAUUAUUGAAUAUAUAUUUAUUAUUUUAUUAUUUCAUAAUUGAUAGAAAAUAUAAAAAUAAUAAUACAUAAAUAUAAUUUGUAUAUAAAAUAUUUAUUCCGCGCACUUAACUUAGUGGUAGGUAUUAUAGAAAAUAUAGAAAACACGAACACAUUGUCUUUUUUAUUUGUUGAUUUCAUAUUGUGGUUAUCUUUCUAAAAUCUCAUAUAUAUUUUACAUCUAUAUGGGGUUUUAAUACUACAAAAAACGAAGAGGGUUUAUCUUGUAAAGAAGAAAUUAUUAAGUGGAAAUUUCGAUAUACAGAAAUAUUGAGAACUUGCCUGGAAAAAUCCCCAUUCUUUGCAUGCCAAGUCGAGCUUGUGAAUCUCAGCAUCCAUGGAGGUUAAAGAACACAAGAGAUUCAUGUGGAUGAUUGGGAUCUCGGUUCUUAAAUUACCGUCGAUCUCACCUUUGUCAAGAUCAGACCGUACAUACCUCGGAGGAACCGUCGUGGUCAGCUUCUCCUUCACCAUCUCUUGAACAGAUGGAACUAUAAUAGAGCUAUGCUGGCUUUCUCCCUUGGCUUCCAUGGCGGAUUAUUCUUGAAAGAAAAAGAAUGUUGAUAAUGCCAAAUAUUGUUUAUUUUGUAACAAAUGCCAGAUAUUGUUUUGUUGAGCAACACUUACAAAAAGAAAAAGAUAAUGGACCUUGGCGUUUUGCUACACGUUUUGCAAGUGGCGAUAAGUGAAGUACUGCGUCGUUUUGUAUGCCCGUGUGUUUUUGCAUGUGACUAGGUGGUUGCAUGUAACUAAAAUGGAAACUACUUAUGCGAAUUAAUUUAGGACAUUGUUUUGUCCGAGAGUUUAUAAGAGCAUUUCCAAUGUAUUACUCCAAAUUUUACUCCAAAAUGAUGUACCUCCAAAAUAGAGUUGGGUUUUACUUUAAUGUAUGACUCUAUUUUUUACUUCUUUUUUAUUUUGUUAAUAAUUGUUAGUAGUACUUUCACCUUAUAAAAAUUUAAGAAUUAACCCAACUAUUUUAUGUUUACAAAAUUUCCAUAAUAAUAUAUUUUAUUUAGAUUAAAUAUUUAUCAUUAAAAAUAUAGCUAAGAGAUUAUCUUCCAAUUUCAAUUCGUGGAGUUUUAUCAUAUGCAAUUUUUCUAAUUCGAAAAUAUUUAUAUGCACUAAAAGAACAUAAAGUAAAAAAAAAAAGUUUUGUUUUGUAAUUUAAAAUAUGUAUUGGGUCUCAUUGUUUGUGCAUAUAAUAAGUUCAACUAGUACAAAUGUUAUCAAUCAAAAUUUUUUGACCCACAAAAUUAAAAAAAAUGCAUCUAUUCCGUUUGAACAAGACUUCACCGAUUUUGGUAGUUUCGAAAACAAUUUACCGAAUUAUUAAAUUACUUAUUUAUAUUAUAUUUUAUUUAUUUUAUAUUAUUUAUUCUUAGUUUUGACUUUUAUGAGUUUAUGCAUAUUUUAUGUAAACUAUUAAAUAAUCUUUUGCGGAGUAUUAUAUUUUUUCAUGUUAAAAAAUUAAAGAUUAAAAAGACCAUUUCAUAAAUAGAAAAAGUUCAAUUACAAAAUGAAUUAAUGGGUAAAAUUACUCUAUAAAUAUGAAACCCUAGCUAUACUUUAUUUUGAAGUUGAAUAUGGAAUAGAAUUGGAAAAGAUUUUACUCUAAAAUUGAGUUUAAAGUCAAAAAUAUAGUAGAGUUGGAGAUGAUACCCCAAUAAUGUUGAGCCUUCCCUAACAACCAGACCCGAUUCUCGGCACAACUGUAUGAAAUAUUCACGAAGUAUUAUACUUUGUUUGCAUUAUUAUCUCCAAAUUAUUUUAUUAAAUAGAAUUAAGGUAAAAAUGUUUAUGGUCUCCUAAAUCUGGAUCCGGUUUUUCAAACAACGAUCGUAAAAGAGGACAUUCUUAUUAAUUCUCUGCAUGAAACAAGAGAAGAUAAAAUAUACUAUCUAUAUAUAGUACCACAUGCAAGAACGGUGGUAGAAGAUAAGAGUUUUCUUAGGUCACAAGGCAAUGGGUCUUCAGAUUCUCAUAACAUCAAGGUAAGCUUUUCCACCGAGCUCACGUGAGAACAAGCCUUUGAAGUACUCAUCAGUGGUCAUGCUUCUGAAAAAUGAAGCCUUAUGCCUCUCCACGAGACUUCUCAGCGGACCAACUUCUUUACCAGUUCCUAUAUUGUGAAACGCCCCUAUAGAAAUCCUCUCCUUCUCUGAGUUCACAACCCCACGAUGCUCUAUACUUCGGUACGUCCCAUUUGUAACAAUCUACAUAGACAAAACCAAAACCAUUUACAAAUUACAAACGUUGUAUAUAUCAUUUGGUCUCUCUCUACUCUAGUUCACAAAACUUACCUCUAUCAUGUCUCCAACAUUGACAACGAAAGCAUCUGGGAGAGGUUUGACAGAAACCCACUUGCCUUUCUUCUUGAUUUGGAGACCUUCCACUUCAUUAACCUGCAAAAGGAUGGUGACUCCUGUAGAAUCUGAAUGUGGAGUCAGACCAAUAACCUUGUCAGGCUCAGGACAAGGAGGGUAGUAAUUCAUCCUCAUUAUCUGUCCUAGAUCAUCAUCAAACAACUUCUCCAUCUCGUCAGGGUUGAUCUUCAAUGCCACCGCCAUUUUAGCAAACAAGAUCUUAGCUAUGCUUUUCAGUUCAGCUGAAUACGUCUCUAGUGUAUCUCUGAAGAAACAGAACAUAGUUUGAAGAACAGAGAAAGACUUGCGAGGCAAGUAAGAAUGGUUUUGAAGCAAACCUAAGGGGAAGAGGUAUCUUGGGGAACACGUGAGGCUUGCGUAACCUAGCAGGUAGCACUGUGAGAUGGAACAUGUCUGCCCAAUCUAGUUUCUGCUCUUCUGAAACCACAAAAGCCUGUCCAAACCCUUCGAUGUCUCCAGGCUUUUGCCACAGCUUCUUCUUCUCUUCCAUGGGAAGGUUGAAGAAAUCUUGAAUCUCUGACUUGAAUUUGUCCAAGAAGCCUGAGUCCACUCCAUGGUUUACAAGCUGGAGAUAAGAUACAAGAAGUGGAGUUAUUUUGUAAGAAUGAGUUUUAAGAUAAUGAAGUUUGACUUUUGAAACUUACCUGAAAAAAUCCCCAUUCUUUGCAAGCCAAGUCUAGUUUUUCAAUCUCAGAAUCCAUGGUGGUUAGAGAACACAAGCGGCUCAUGUCGAUGACUGGGAUCUCAGGUUUUAGACCAGAGUCACAGGCCAUCUCAGCUUUGUUUAGAUCAGACCGUACAUACCUCUGAGGAACCUUCUUGAUCAGCUUCUCCUUCACCAUCUCUUGAACAGAUGGGACUAUAAUAGAGCUGUGAUGCUUACUUGCUCCAUUGGCUUCCAUGGCUGCUUCUUUUUGGUAAGAAAGGAAAUGUUAACAGUGCCAAAUCCAAUGAUUGAUGGGAGACUGUGAUGGUGAUCGGUAACUAGCUACAAAGGUCUACAAGUAUUUAUAUAUGAUUUUAGAUGCAAGAAAUAGAAAACAGUAGUAUAAUUCUUUAAUAUCUUUGAAUUGAAAAAUACUGGCCCACGUUACGAGUGUGCUUACAUAAGAAAGAGAUGUACAUCAAGACGUUUACUUGGUGUCAUCUAAGAAUAUUCUUGGUUUGCAAAGCAAGUUAUGGCUACUUUUUCAACGUUUUGUAACAUUAAGUACAAUAUAUGGGAGGCUUGAAAAGUCUUGGGAUAAGGUCUCUGGACUAGUACAUGGACAUGUACGACCGUAAUCCUUAUAAUUCAACGAUUCGUUAUCCGGAUUCCAACGCAUGCUCCAUGGAGUUUCUGAAAACAUAAACAAGUGAUUUACAAAAAAAAAAGCAUAUAUGUAUACCCCCUACGCAACGUAAUCAGAGAUUAUGAAACUCAUUAACAGUAUAGUUCUUUAAUCUCUUUGAAUUGACAAUACUGGCCCACGUCACGAGUGUGUUUAGGUAAGAAAAAGAUAGACAUCUACACGUUUAUUUGAUGUCAAUUAAGAUUUUUUGUUUAGGCUGCAGAGCAAGAUAUAAUGGCUACUUUUCAACGUUUUAUACUUUAGUUCAAUGCGUGGGAUGCUUAAAAGUCUUAUAGGAUAAGGUCUCUGGACUUAGCAGAUGGACAUGGCCGACCGUAUCAAAGCGACUAUUCAGGAAGUAGGAGGAUAUAUUCAAGUUUAGAGAAAAAAACUGAGUUUACACAUUUGAUGAUAUACUACAUAACAGGCUAUUGGAUCAAUAACCGUAGAUUCUUUAAUUUAACUUGUUUUUAUUGUAAAUUACACAUUCAUACAUAAGAGAGGUAGUAGCUGCAUAGAGUGGUCACUCUCCCUUGAGAACUGGAGACUGUGACAAGAUAUCUCCAGAGCAACAGAGCCUCUUCUUCUCUAUAGUAAAGAGUGAUGCACAAUGUUGGGUGGUGUAUAAACUCAAGGACAAGGAUAUGUCCCGAAUCAACUAAUCUAUACCUAAAGGUUGAAAUGAAAGUGCAGAAAGUGCUCAGUAUUUUUUACACAAACUAUGAUCACAUCUGGAGAAGAUUAUUCACUGUAACAGCAACAGAGUUUGUUCUCUGCAGGUCCUGCAAAAAAAAAACGCAACAUGUUCUAGUAUCAACUACAUAUGCACUUCCUAUCAAAGGUUACAGAGAGUAUUCAAAUAUGCACUUAAAAUUUUACCUGGAAAAUAAUUUCAUCAGGCACAUGUGGCAUGACUUCCCUCACUGUCUCGGCCAUAGCUAGUAUACUUGCCAAGCUUUCAUUUGUCACGUUUGAUACAGUUCUUAGAUGCAGACCACCUGUCCUUCCACCAGCACCUGGAGGCAUGGUUGUUGUAGUAGAAGUGGAAGCUUGUGAAGGGUUCAUCGGCCAUAGACUCCAAGCAGCAUCGUCAAGUGCAGUUUGAGCAUAGCUUUCCCCAACAGAUGCAAGAUGCCUCAUCAUCAUCUGAACCCUCCCCAGUCCAACGGACCUAGAAGCGGUAGUAGAGGGACCAGCGACAUCAAUGCCCUGGUCUGACCAUGUCUGCAGCCAGCUUGGAUCCAAUCCUAAAUUCCUAUUUUGUGAAAAACAAAAGGGUGAGAACUUUUACAAUCAUAUAUUUAGUUAAUAAGUGAAUCAUGGAAGAAGAAUGAAGUGAACCUCGAAGGAUCAGUUUCAACAGAACUUGGCAUCUCAGCAGGGAAUAAACCAGUGGCUAGUGGAUGAGCAGGACUGUUUUGUCUUUCAAGCUGACGCGCUAGCUGCUCAUCCCUUGAGACUUCAACCGUGCGAGGGUUAGCCUCACUUUCAGUUCUACCAGCAAAAAGAGGCUUACGACAUGUAGGACAAGAAUAAACAUCAUUUAGACCUUGAUCCAACCUGCCAGCACCAUCAAAGCAUCAUCAUCAGGAUCAUUAGUUUCAGUUAUAAAUAUCCGAGGAUGUAGGUAUCUACCAGGAUCGCAGGCAUCCAAGAUGGAAAAGGUGGUUGCAGUGAAGCCUUUUAGCCUUAGCCAUAGGUUCCUGGCCAUUCAGAAUGUAUACAAGAGCUUGAGGUAUUGAAAAGGUGUAUGAAAAAAUAGCUCUAUAGAGCAGAAGCAUACCCGGCAUAUAGCACAUUCAUCAUCAUAUGCACGCAACUCUUCAGAAGUUGCAUCAGGAAGCGCUGCAUGGAGAGAACCCAGAGCUAUUCUCAGUUUAAUGUAUCCUUUCAUUCGUUUCAAAAUUGCACUGAGCAAUGCCUGCCAAAACAAAAAUAGAAAAAUCAGGUGCUAAGUAACCCUGAGGGCGACACAAUAUCAAAGAAAGUUGACAAACUUACACGUAUGUUGAGAAACAAAACUGCAUCCACCAGAUGAAAGGCAAUGCCAUGGAGCCACCAGAUAUGCAAAUAAUGACAUAGUGCCAUUACCAAAGUAGCCAUGUCCAGGAAGAAACCAAGGUUUCGGUUGAGGAGGCCCUUCCAUUCCAACAGUGAGCCUAUCCCAAAGGGUAAGAGACCAAAAAUAUCCAUGAAAAUUCAUUUCCCGGUUAACAGAAAAAGCCAUGGCAUAACACCAGAAAAUAAAAGACCUGCUGUCAUGGAAUCGAGAAACUUGGAUCUUUGGCAGUCCGAGUUAUUGACUACUAAGUGAUUGAUCCACAUAUCAAGCAAUUGAAACCCAUGAAUCAACAGCGCCUACAGAAGAACAAUAUCAGCUCUAUAUUUUGUUGACCAUCGCUAAAGAAAAGGACAACACACAAGAAGGACGAAAAAAGACAAUUGCUAUUACUUAAGUACCUGCAAGGUCUCAAAAGCAAUACUGCAUGGCUCAAAAAGUAACAGCAGAUACACAGAAGAACCAAUUGUAUUGUAUGUCAUAAGGGAAAGCUUUAUCCUGCAACAUACGUGAAGAAAAUUAAAUCCUUUUAACGAAGAGCGUUGUCCAUGUAGGUCUAUUCGUAUUACCUACUCGAUUAUACACAUUACUCAACUAUAUAUGAAGUCCAGAGAGAAACAAGAAUGUCAAUUUGACUUUUCUGGUUUAAGUUCAUAAAGAGAUAGAAGAUAAUAUUUGACAAUAUACCACAAAGGUUAAGGAAAUACCACAACAUAUCAACAGAGAGAACCAAGAAGAGAACUGAAUACACACGAAAGUAUGUCCAAGGUGUAGAGGAAGGAGAUGCAUUCAAUCGUUCAAGCCGGUCUCUAGCCAAAGCUUGAAACAUCUACAUGACAUUACAAGAUUCACAUUAGGAGGGUGUCUAAAAAGGAUAAUUCAUAACUAGGUAUAUCGCGAACGCCAAUAAUUCCUACCAAAAAGUCAACAACCAUACCUUUAAAGUGCAUAGAACAGUCAGCCAAACUGUCCACAGUACACCUUGAAAUAUUGUUGGGGGAAUCACCAGCGGUAGAAAUGUACCCUAGGAGGAAAGAAGGAUUAAAUUAUGAUUUAAUCUAUUGACAUCCAGAACCCAUACAGUAUAUGCAUAUGAAUUAAAUUACAGAAGCACUAAACAAAGAUGCAAAGUGCACAAGUAAAUGAAAGGAAAAAGUGGGCAUUAAAGACCUCUCUUAAGCCUCAAAACCUAUUAUGUUCCUUUUGAUACAUUAUAAGUACAUUUAAUACAUUUUUUUUCCUGCAGCUGUUAAGAUAUUAAGUAAUGAAAGUAAGAACAGCACUACCUUGUAAAUGAUGUAAUUGGCAAGUCGCUCCACCAGCUUUUUAGUUUCAACGCCAUAUAAAUCUCCAAAAAAUAGAGUCUGUAAAAGAUGCAUAAAGACAUUAGAACCACAGAAAAUGGUCAAACCACAUCUACAAAAACAGAAAAUAAUCAGUACGCCUGUGCACAUUACUAUGGCAACGAACAGCAAUGAUAACAAGUGGUAAACAAUGUUUAACUCUUACCUUGAGGGAGAGUAUAAGAAGAAUAUACACAUUGAGCACAAAAUUGGUCAACAGGGCGAUUGUAAAGUAAGAUCCCAGAAGCAGCUCAAGCGCAUGCUCUGAGUCUGCUAAAGAAAUGUUCUUUGCAAUCAGCCCAUCAGCUCUAAGCCUAUCCAAAGACAACUCUGUCCAGACUUGAAGCCCCACAAAGCUCAGAGCUGUUGAUGCCACCGAGACCGACAAGUACCUUAUCCCCAUUAGGAACAAUAUAACAACAGCCUUCUCACUCAAAAAGUAACUCCCAGAAUCUCAUUUAAUCAAAACCAGCUCGAGAUCCCCAUCUGCAACCACAUAGAAAGACAAGAUUCUUUUGACCAUAAAGGCAGAGACUUUUGAAGAAUCAACACACAAUUGAGCUACCCAUCAGCAGAAAACAAGAGAAAGAUUGAUUCUUUUUAGAAUUGAAUCUAUAAGAAACAUAAACAAUUCAAAAUUCAAAGAUCGAAGAAAACUGGUAAACAUCGUGGAAGAGGAGAGAAAUGAGCUGGGAAGAUUCAAUUUUAACAAAUGCGUAUUACCAAACAAGAGAUCAAAGUUCUAUGGAUCGAUCGAAAACCUGAUUAUCUGCAAAGUUGUCGGUUGAAAAUUCUCUUUAGGACAGGCGUCUCUGUCUUUUUCUCGAUCGGGACAAGGAAAAGUAUAGGAAGAGCAGAAAAAUCAAUAUCUUCUUCCAGGUAGAAAGAGAGAAAGUAUUAUUAUUAUUUUUUCUUUUAUUUAAAGCGAUACGGUCAACAAUAAAAUUAUUUCUUUCUUAAUUUUUAAACAUUAUGUUUUACGAAGAAUAGUUACAUGUUUAAUCAAAGCAUAAUGUCCUAUUUAACUAAGUUGGAGUAUUUAGUAUUGGAUAGCAUUUCGAACUCGCUUUUCUAUUUUUCUUUUAAAAUAUAUAAAAAUAUUAUUUAUGUGAAAUUUAUUUCAAUGUAUAUUUUUAUAAUAAAACUUUUUAUUUGUGAGAAAAAAAUAGAAAAUGUUAUAUUUUAUCUCUAUAUUUGAUAAAAAAAAAUAUCAUAUAGAAAACCACUUGUAUAAUAUAAAUGACGAUUUUCUCAAAUAAUCAUUUUUAUAUUUUUAUUAUAAAUAUAUUUUUUUAAUGAGGAAAAUGAUUAAGAUAGUCUCUUUUUUAUUUUGAAAAUUUUAAUAUUAUUUUUUUUUUUAAUUUGAAACUAUACCUUCAAAACUCUACUCCUUAACUCUAAACCUUAAAUCUAGAUUAGUUAACUAACCAUAAGAGAUAAAUUUAUUUUUAUUCUUUAAUAAAACUUUUUUAGUUAUUUUCCUAUUUUAAUGUUAUUUUUGUGAAAAAACUAAAAAGUAUUAUCCUAAGAAAUUUCUCUAAUAUAAAUACAUUGUUUUAGCCGAAAAAUAUAAAAGUGAGUCGGAUAUAGUUUUAACCAUUAUUUGUUAGAUCCUUCUGUUUUAAUUUGGUAAGAGUUUUGAUCUUAACCCAUUUGGCUACCGGAGUUAAAGGAGAGAGGUAGGUAAUUUUAUUCUCAUUCAAACCUUGCAAGUCUAUAGAAGUAUUGUGGUAUAAUGAUUAAAGCUUAAAGUUUUUUACAUUCGGUUUUUGGUUCGAUUCAUAGAAGAAAUGUUUUUCUACUAAUUAUAGGAUAAAACUUAUGGGAAGUUUCAGAUUAUUUCUAUCUUUCGUUGGGAUUGUGGUCGUGUGUUAAAAGAAAGCAUGUCCAUCGAAAAUGUUAUACUACAGAAUUGUGCAUGGAUAUAAAUGUUACAGAAAAACUAUAUCAUAGAAUAGGAUGGUUAUAUAUAAAGUUGUUCAUCAGAACUGCAUAUGCUAGAAAUAAUUGAUCAUAGUGUGAAAAAUAUAUAAAUAUUAUACAAUGAGUGAUCGAUGAUAAAAAACCUAACAAAUUUGGAGAUUGAUCAAUGAUAAAAGAAAUCAAUUAAAAUGGUAUCUCCUGUGAUGAUGUCAAGAUCGAAAAAGGAGAUUGCAAAACUCAUAGGAUGACAUCAAUGGGAGCUUUGUGUCCUGGUGACGAUUAUGUAGCCACUACGUACAUCUUCCUCAGAUGAUCCAGACAACAUAGCUUUCACUUCUGUUCCAAUAAGCUGAGUGGGCAACAACCCUGAGAUGAAAGCUGCAGCAGUCAUCAACAUGUAAAACACCAAAUCUCAGCUAAUCUCAGAGAUGUAACUGGUACGGACCGGUCCAAUCCCUUAGCCAUUGCCUUCGAGAGAUUUGUGGGUGACAACAGCUGUUGUGAUGAGUAUUGUCUCCUUGGAUUAUGUAACUACAAACCAAUCUUUAACCAUGAUCGAACAAACUCUUCAUUUGUGUCUAAGUGUCUUCUUCUGUCGUAACUUACAACUUGUAAGAGAUCCAAUGCAUUAAUUGGGUGGGGUGUAAAAGCAAACUACUAACAACUUAGAUCGUUCAUAGAAUUGUUGCAGGCUCGGGACACCAUCACGACCAACAUGACCAAGAUGGAGAGAAAGACCGAAGUCUUGAGAUCUUCCUCGAACCAAUUGUGGAGUUUGCCACGUUUCCUCUUUUUGUUAACUUUGAAACUAUUUAAGAGUUCUAUCGCGAGCUUUAUUAUCUUCUUCAACACUUCCGUGGCCUUAACCACGGUGCUGUCAAAUACCCAUUUUAUGAAAUCUGUUGGUGUGUUAUUCUUCCGUGGAGUGUCAUCUGAGCUCUCAUCACCUGAACUCUCAUCAUCUGAACUCUCCUCGUCUGUUAAUAUAGAAAGACCGAACAAGCCAAUGAGAACUCUCUCAAACAAAAGGCUUUAAAUUAAUACUAAUACCUUGAUUAAUGCCAUUGUAGUACAAAUCCUUAAUCUCUUGCACCACCUCGUUGUUCCUCACUGCCUUCCACACUGCUUUGUCAGAUGACAAUGAUAACACCAUUCUCUGCACAAAACGUUAUUCAGGUACACAUUGUGUUUCUAUUUAGGGUUUAUGAAUACUUAACAAAAUAAGACACAGAAACUUGAGCUUAGUGAAUCAAGAAAACAUAAUAAAAAAAAAGAUCACCUGGACGGAUGGCUCGGUUCGUAGUAGGUCAAAAGCAUUGUAAACGUGAUCAUAAGCAUGAGGCUGUAAGAUUCUUGAAUGACAUAGUUCCAUUGAAGGCUCCACCCAGUCCAACUCCGUCCCAAACGAAGGAACUUGAUGAACCAUUCCUGUGGGCAUGGGACUCUGGUUUGCACCACCAUCGAAUACCCUUUAAAACAAGAAUCAACAGUUACGCGUAUUCCCAUUAAGCAAGAAAGCAGGUUUUGAAGAUUAAUAAUAAUAAACAAAGACAAUGAUGCAGUUGAACUAGCAAACAACUUUUCAAAGUAGUUUAAGUUCAGGUACUAGGAAUGAUUGGUUAAAUUGAUACUAAUUCCGGAAGCAAACAAAACGAAAUAGACUUGGAUAGAGCUUCCAUCUUAUUUUAAUUCAUCAAAUCAAGACAAAUUUUUUUCAAUCACACUCAGAGGAAAGAAAUAGGGAAAAGAAAAAAAGUUAACUUUGAAAAUAAUCCAUCCUAAGCCAAGACAAUUCUCGUGAGUAUUAAAAUAUCUAUCUACCACUCAAAGCUCAUCCACAUGUCUGAGAAUUUUUUUUUUUCUUUUUUUAACACUUUUAUGAGAUUAAUUGUCAAUUCUAAUCAUUGAUACAAGUUUCAAAACUCAAAUAGUCUCAUCCAUAUAACCAAAUACAUUACUUUCAAGCGUAUAGAAAAAUUAAGAAACAGAAGAGAAAAAAAAUGAUUACUGCUUGAGAGCAGAAACAGCAUCUUCAACUUCAUCAACAGAAGGAACAGAGCCAAAAACAGAAUCAUCAUCUUCUUCUUCUUCUUCGGUUCCUUCCACCGUAACCCACUCAAAGUCUUCGUAAGCGCCGUAACUGUUAAACGAAAAAGCUCCCCCGCUCCAUCUGGAGGUUAUAGCCACCGGAAGAUUCAACAGCGACCCUGAUGCCGCCGAGAUUCUCAGAUUGUUUGAUCCAACUCUAUGGACAUACCCUCCACCUAGCGAGACAGAAGCGUUCCCAGCUUCUGUCGACGGUGAUGAAGCAAAGGGAUCUUGAAUACCGCCUUUGGCUACGCCGGUCCUCUUCAUCGCUCGUCCGGCGGCGCGUAGCAUCCCUCUUCCGGCGGCGCCUAACAUCCCUCUCCCGGCGGCGCGUAGCAUCCCGCUGCCGGCUGCGCGUAGCAUCCCUUUUCCUCUAUCUAACAUGAGACAAUUGAACUUGCGUUAUUCCGACAGGUUUCGUAAGUUUUACGUUAACUCGGUGAACAGUUUUUUUUUCUUUUGGUCUACCGGUUCGGAUCAAUUAAAGAGUUGUUGUUGUAAUGAAUGUCUCUGUUUUGAGUUUGCUUAUGUACGGUUUGAUGAUUUCCAGGAGACAGAUCAGGUUAUAUAUACAAAAUGUUCUUUUAAGGAUUUUCUCAGAAUAUUUUGACUUUCCUUGAUUUUCUUUGCUUUGUUUUGCUUGAUCCUUCUUCUCCACGACAACGCUUACCAUUUCUAUGUUUUCUAUUGCAUUCAUUUCAAUAAAUAGUCAUAAAAGUAGUUUCCCGUAUAGUAUAAUUGCAUAAACCAAAAAAAAUAAGCACAGAAUUUAAAUGAAUAUGAUUGAAAAUCUGAAGUAAUAUGCAUAAAAGUUAGGAAUUUAAAUAUUGUACUCAAUAGCAUGAAAACACGAAAACCAAUUUGAAAUCCAGAAGACAUUUCGUAAGGGAAAGGGAAAACCAACGUUGAAGACUUUUUCUCUGCUUUUUACUCGAGGUAACUCUCUAUAAUGCUUGUUCUCUACGUCUUUGGUUACUUGCUAGUGAAUUAAUUGGUUAGAAUAUGAAUGCUAGGGAACAAUCCGGUUUACAGUUUUGGUUUAUCAAUCCGGAAACAGCACAUUGAACCGCAUUGUUUUUGUAGUCACGGUUCAGAACAUACCAUCUCUUAGUGCGACGAGCCAUGUGGUCAUACAGUUUGGUUGUUACUCAAAAAGGAAAAAGAAGCUAGGCAGACCAAACAUAAGUUGGACGAACAAGACUUCUCGAUAUAGACGUCACAACUUACAAACAAGGCAAAGAAAGUACAGCAAAAGGUUUACAAUUUACCACAAAGAGAAUAACACAACAAAACAUGGUACCAUUUGACAAGAGAAACACACUUGCACAUUAUUUAUAACAAAAAGAAAAAAAAACUGAUGAUAUAUGCUUCCCCUUUUAUUACCCACCCUGAUCAAAUUCUAAACACCUUAUUCCUCAUGAACUAGACUCCCCUGACAUCGACAUUACUGGGGGCUGUUGCGUGAUUUAUGUAGUAGUGGUGGUGUGAUGGGUUCCACGGGUACGGUCACGGUCAUGCUCACCACCUGUAUGUUGCUGUCCGUAGUAUUGAGCUCUGUCUUUAAUAUCCUGAGCUUUGGUUCCCAGCUUCAUCCUUGCACUGUCCAACUUAUCUGACCCCUGUGGGUGCUCUCCCGUUGCGUACCUAUUCAAUCACACACACACACACACACGCAUGCAUCCAUCAAUUUACACACACACAUAAAAGUGAACGUCUAUGUUCAAUUAGCCAGAGCUUAUUCAGAUGUUUAUGUAUAUAUGCUUUUAAGUUUUAGUGUCCUCUCAUGGCAUAUCUGAUUAUUGUUAAAUAUUAUCUUUAGUUAAGACCUUACCUUUUGGUAAGGUGCAGAUAUACAUAUAACACAAAUUGAAAAUUUAUAUCUGUGAUAAUUUUUUUGCUUACUUAUAGAUCCAGGAGAAGACGGUUAUAGCUGCAAUGCCAAACCCACCAGAGGAGAGAAAGCCAGUGAUGAGAAGUGCUACGGUGAUGAGAGCCGGCAC